GCCGGAGUGGUGAAAUUGGUAGACGCAGAGGACUCAAAAUCCUCCGAGGGCAACCUCGUGCCGGUUCGAGUCCGGCCUCCGGCACCA
rnacentral:tRNA from 1 species